rnacentral:rRNA from 1 species
AGUGGUGUGCGCUGCUCUUCGCCUCUCUCGCACUCUCUCGCGUGCGCGCGGUGUCUCGGCGUUCGUGUGUGUGUGUGCUCUUAGCUCACCWGGCCCUCGCGGGUUCUGUGUGUGGCGGGGUGCGCGCGCGCGCGUGCGUAUUCACGGGCCCGCCGCCGCGUGGUCACGGGUGCUUGGGGGUGGGCUCGCUCGCUACUCCCGCGACAUGCUCCCGUCCGUAACAAGCCUCCGCGCCUGCGUACAUAGUGGUGCUUGACUGGGGUGACGGACAAGGCGUCGGCGUAUGCUUGCCGGGCUGGCUUUUGAUGGGCGGCGCGUGUGUGUGUUCGCACGCACACUCUCUCACUCUCUCCAGCUGCCCGUGUCUUCGCUCGCCGCUCGCUCCCGUCUUCUCCUAGAGUAUCAGUGUCACCGUGAGUAAAUCGGAGUGCUCAAAGCAGUCGUAACGGGCCUCGUGCCCUGUGAACAGUCUUGACGGACUGACUUGGUUUUGCAUGGUAUGUCGGAAGACGACGUCGAGCGCUGGCUAAGAGGUAUUUUUAAUGAAUCAGUGGUAUAAGCCAGCCUCGACGUACUGAUUAAAAGGGCUUGUCGAGGGCAUUGGUAUUGCGGAGCGAGAGGUGAAAUUCUAUGACCUCCGCAAGACCGCCCGAAGCGAAAGCGUCUGCCAAGGAUGUUUUCAUUAAUCAUGAACGAAAGUUAGAGGAUCGAAGGCGAUCAGAUACCGCCCUAGUUCUAACCCUAAACGAUGCCAACCAUCAAUCCGCGCGUAGCACCCUUUAUGACGGGCUCGGCGGGCAGCUCCUUUUUCACGGGAAACCAGAGUCUCUGGGUUCCGGGG